CUACGGGGGGCAGCAGUGAGGAAUAUUGGACAAUGGUCGAAAGACUGAUCCAGCCAUGCCGCGUGCAGGAUGAAUGCCCUAUGGGUUGUAAACUGCUUUUAUACGGGAAGAACACCACCCACGUGUGGGUGACUGACGGUACCGUAAGAAUAAGGACCGGCUAACUCGUGCCAGCAGCCGCGGUAAUACGGAGGGUCCAAGCGUUAUCCGGAAUCAUUGGGUUUAACGGGUCCGUAGGCGGGCUAUUAAGUCAGAGGUGAAAGUUUGCAGCUCAACUGUAAAAUUGCCUUUGAUACUGGUAGUCUUGAGUUAUAGUGAAGUGGUUAGAAUAUGUGGUGUAGCGGUGAAAUGCAUAGAUAUCACAUAGAAUACCAAUUGCGAAGGCAGAUCACUAACUAUAUACUGACGCUGAUGGACGAAAGCGUGGGGAGCGAACGGGAUUAGAUACCCGUGUAGUC
rnacentral:rRNA from 1 species